rnacentral:rRNA from 1 species
UACCCUCGGGAGGGGGAUAACCCCGGGAAACUGGGGCUAAUCCCCCAUAGGCCUGGGGUACUGGAAGGUCCUCAGGCCGAAAGGGUCUCUGACCGCCCGAGGAUGGGCCGGCGGCCGAUUAGGUAGUUGGUGGGGUAACGGCCCACCAAGCCGAAGAUCGGUACGGGCCAUGAGAGUGGGAGCCCGGAGAUGGACACUGAGACACGGGUCCAGGCCCUACGGGGCGCAGCAGGCGCGAAACCUCCGCAAUGCGGGCAACCGCGACGGGNNGACCCCCAGUGCCGUGGCAUCGCCACGGCUUUUCCGGAGUGCAAAAAGCUCCGGGAAUAAGGGCUGGGCAAGGCCGGUGGCAGCCGCCGCGGUAAUACCGGCGGCCCGAGUGGUGGCCGCUAUUAUUGGGCCUAAAGCGUCCGUAGCCGGGCCCGUAAGUCCCUGGCGAAAUCCCACGGCUCAACCGUGGGGCUUGCUGGGGAUACUGCGGGCCUUGGGACCGGGAGAGGCGGGGGGUACCCCUGGGGUAGGGGUGAAAUCCUAUAAUCCCAGGGGGACCGCCAGUGGCGAAGGCGCCCCGCUGGAACGGGUCCGACGGUGAGGGACGAAGGCCAGGGGAGCGAACCGGAUUANAUACCCGGGUAGUCCUGGCUGUAAAGGAUGCNGGCUAGGUGUCG